UGACGGCCAUAUCACGUUGAAACACUGGUUCCCGUACUAUCACCGGAGUUAAGCAACGUCGAACCCAGUCAGUAUCUAGAGAUGGGUGACCGCUUGGGAAUACCGGGUGCUGUAAG